GUGUUAUAUGAAAGGGGAGAAGGUUAGCACUCCCCUUGACAAGGAUGGAAGAGACCCUCCAGCCUCACAACGUGCGUAUGUUUAGGGUAUUGCCACCUACUUUGUGGCAUCUAACCAUGGUUUAAA